rnacentral:rRNA from 1 species
GUAAUACGUAGGGGGCAAGCGUUAUCCGGAUUUACUGGGUGUAAAGGGAGCGUAGACGGCAAGGCAAGUCUGAAGUGAAAGCCCGGUGCUUAACGCCGGGACUGCUUUGGAAACUGUUUAGCUGGAGUGCCGGAGAGGUAAGCGGAAUUCCUAGUGUAGCGGUGAAAUGCGUAGAUAUUAGGAAGAACACUAGUGGCGAAGGCGGCUUACUGGACGGUAACUGACGUUGAGGCUCGAAAGCGUGGGGAGCAAACAGGAUUAGAUACCCUGGU